UACGUAGGGCGCAAGCGUUGUCCGGAAUUAUUGGGCGUAAAGAGCUCGUAGGCGGCUUGUUGCGUCGUCCGUGAAAACCCGCAGCUCAACUGCGGGCUUGCGGACGAUACGGGCAGGCUGGAGUUCGGUAGGGGAGACUGGAAUUCCUGGUGUAGCGGUGAAAUGCGCAGAUAUCAGGAGGAACACCGGUGGCGAAGGCGGGUCUCUGGGCCGAUACUGACGCUGAGGAGCGAAAGCGUGGGGAGCGAACAGG
rnacentral:rRNA from 1 species